CAACGAGUCGCAAGACCGCGAGGUUUAGCAAAUCUCUUAAAGCCGUUCUCAGUUCGGAUUGUAGGCUGCAACUCGCCUACAUGAAGUCGGAAUCGCUAGUAAUCGCGGAUCAGCAUGCCGCGGUGAAUACGUUCCCGGGCCUUGUACACACCGCCCGUCACACCAUGAGAGUUUGUAACACCCAAAGCCGGUGGGGUAACCUUUUGGAGCCAGCCGUCUAAGGUGGGACAGAUGAUUGGGGUGAAGUCGUAACAAGGUAUC
rnacentral:rRNA from 1 species